rnacentral:rRNA from 1 species
AUGUGUCUCAUGUUUCUUUGUCCUCCAGCCGCGCCCGAGGGAGCUCCCCGAAGCCGGCGCCGUGAUCCUCCAGCACCACCACCAGCAAUCAGCCGCUCCGCCGCCAUUUUGCAGGAGGUCCGCCUCCCUGCUUCGCCUCCGUAUCUCCUCUUGCUGCUGCUCAAGCCCUCGUCUGCCAUGGCCUUUCUCCUGCCCAUGCGUUUCUUUUCGUUCCCUGCACCGAUGCGUCGCUGGAGAAGCACCUGCUCCUCUUGCAGUCGAUGUGCCAUGCCUUGGCCUCCUGUUCACGAUGACCGGAAGACCGCAUGA